CAAGGCCACUACUUAGACAGCAAGUAUCAUAGGCAGGGGUCAAUACUGCCACCUUCUGGCCCGUCUGGGGUUCUGGGAGUGGGCCAGUGGCGGGUCUGCGCCCCGCAAGGUCCACUGAUCCCCAGACCACGACAGACGCGCCGGCGCUUCCAUGCUUGGACCCGCCGGCGCCCCAGGCUGGGUCCCUAGAAACAUCUAGGGCGUGGGCGGGGGGCGGAGGACCGGGCGGGGACCGUCCCAAGCUCUCCCAGCUUGUGCCACCUAUCCUGCUCCCCAAGAAUUUGGCUGGGUCGGUGCCCGGGCUGGGCAGUCGGCGGCUUGGCUGUCCGGCUCAGCAAGGUCCGGUCGUCCACGGGCGUCGGGAUUCAGGAUGACUUCGGCCGGCUAUAGAUUUCUGUGGCUUCUCAAGAUGUUGAUCUUAAUCGUGGGACUUGGCGUUGUUUUAUUUAUGUUCGGAAGUGUGUCCCUUCAGGCAGAGUUCAGGAGUCUUAAGCCAGAGCCCCCAGGUUCUCCGCUGGGGGUCCAGGUGCUGAAGCUUCUGCCUGAGGAACGUCUCCGGAACCUCUUUACCUACGACGGCAUCUGGCUGUUCCCGAAGAACCAGUGCAAAUGUGAAACCACCGAAGAGCAGAGAAGUUAUAACUUUCAGGAUGCAUAUGACCAGAGUGACCUCCCAGCGGUGAAAGCGAGGAGACAGGCUGAAUUUGAACACUUUCAGAGGAGAGAAGGGCUGCCCCGCCCACCGCCCCUGCUGGCUCAGCCCAACCUCCCCUUUGGGUACCCAGUUCACGGAGUGGAAGUGAUGCCCCUGCACACAAUUCCCAUCCCAGGUCUGCAGUUUGAAGGACCAGAUGCCCCAGUCUAUGAGGUCACCCUGACAGCUUCUCUGGGGACACUGAACACCCUUGCUGACAUCCCAGACAGUGUGGUGCAGGGCAGAGGUCAGAAGCAGCUGACCAUUUCAACCAGUGACCGGAAGCUUCUGAAGUUCAUCCUCCAGCAUGUGACUUACACCAGCUCAGGGUACCAGCAUCACAUGGUGGACAUGGUGAGUAUGGAGUCCAAGUCCUCAGUGGCCAAGUUUCCAGUCACCAUCCGCCAUCCUGUAAUACCCAGGUUAUAUGACCCCGGACCAGAGAGGAAGCUCAGAGACCUGGUGACCAUUGCCACCAAGACUUUCUUGCGCCCCCACAAGCUCAUGAUCAUGCUCCAGAGUAUUCGAGAGUAUUACCCUGACUUGACUGUGAUAGUGGCCGACGACAGCAAGAAGCCCCUGGACAUUAAAGACAGCCAUGUGGAGUAUUAUACCAUGCCCUUUCGGAAGGGUUGGUUUGCCGGUAGGAACCUGGCCAUAUCUCAAGUCACCACCAAAUAUGUUCUCUGGGUGGACGAUGACUUUUUCUUUAAUGACAAGACCAAGAUUGAGGUGCUGGUGGAUGUUCUGGAGAAAACUGAACUGGACAUGGUAGGGGGCAGUGUGCAGAGAAAUGCGUUCCAGUUUAAGCUGCUGCUGGAACAGAGUGAGAACGGAGACUGCCUUCACAAGAGGACAGGAUCUUUCCAGCCCCUGGAAGGCUUCCCCGGCUGUGUGGUGACCAGUGGCGUUGCCAACUUCUUCCUGGCCCACACAGAGCGACUCCAAAGAGUUGGCUUCGAUCCCCGCCUGCAACGAGUGGCUCACUCAGAGUUCUUUAUUGACGGGCUAGGGAGCCUGCUGGUGGGGUCAUGUCCAGACGUGAUGAUAGGUCACCAGUCCCGAUCUCCAGCGGUGGACUCAGAUCUGGCCGCUCUGGAGAAGAUCUACAGCACGUACCGGACUAAUACCAAUGCCCAGAUCCAGUUCAAGCUGGCUCUCCACUACUUCAAGAACCAUCUCGAAUGCACCCAGGAAGGGACACAGAAAAAGCACUAGGCUGACCGCUUGUCGUUAUCUGGAACCGUGGUUAUGGCCAUGAAAAACUAGACCCCUGCAGUCCCACCAGGUGGCUCCACAAGACACGAAGUGCAGGCGAAGCGUUAGAUGCAAAUGUCCCUUAGCUCCAACCACGCGGAACACCAGCACCUACACCCGCGCAGCCCAGCAGACGUGCCUCGUAGGCUCGGUUCGCGCAUCCCAGGGGAUGUCUGGGGCUUGAACCACCGGACCCCCAGGUGCCAGUCCGCUUCGCUCCCCGCUUGGCCAAAGUGUCCUCGCACAGCACUCCUCAAGUAAAUAAAUAAAUAAACAAAUGCGAAGCCCAAGCUGCGUGCGCCCGCCUCCUGCCCCGGGGCUGGAACUGGCCCCGGCUUUCUCCGGACCGCAGUCCGGCCCAGCAUCGCGGAUCCAGCCAGCCCACCGCCCUUCUGACUUCCUGGGACUUGGGUCCCGACGCCCGGAGGAGCUCAGGAAGAGGGGCAGGAAGAUAAGACACCUCGGGGACUGGGCAUGCCUGUAACGGAGGGACGCGGAAGCCCUCGUAGCCCUGCUUCCGCCUCCCGCGCGGCUGGGCCUGCGCCCCAGGGUCCAGCUGGACACAUCCAGGCUCUGACGCAGCUUCCGAAAAGCUGCCCAACGCGCCCUGAGGCUUGAGAAGACUCUCGGCCGCCUAAAGCAGCCAGUGGGUCCCAUGGUGUAAUGGUUAGCACUCUGGACUUUGAAUCCAGCGAUCCGAGUUCAAAUCUCGGUGGGACCUCUCCAUACCUUUUGGUCCUGUAAUUCCCGUUUUGGGGACUGCUGCUGAGGCAGCACCUCGGGCUGUGCGGUGGCCCAGCUGACUCGCCGGACCGCAGCUUAGGGUCCCUCCCCCUCUCUCAAGAUGCUUUCGUUUCAGGGUCUUGGGGUAUUCUCAGUGCGCACGCGUGAGAGUCAGGCAGAAAAAUAAAUGUAUCGAUGGGAGUUGGAACGCGACUUUACCCUGGAGGGAACCACCCGAAAGUGCCCGAAGGAUGCCGACGAUGCUGCUUCGGGCGGGGCACAACUCGGUCUGCCG